rnacentral:rRNA from 1 species
ACGCACGCUGGCGGCGUGCUUCACCCAUGCAAGUCGAACGCUGAAGCUUGGUGCUUGCACUGGGUGGAUGAGUGGCGAACGGGUGAGUAAUACGUGAGUAACCUGCCCUUGACUCUGGGAUAAGCCUGGGAAACUGGGCUAAUACUGGAUACGACAUGCCACUGCAUGGUGGUGUGUGGAAAGGGGUUUUCUGGUUUUGGAUGGGCUCACGGCCUAUCAGCUUGUUGGUGGGGUAAUGGCCUACCAAGGCGACGACGGGUAGCCGGCCUGAGAGGGUGACCGGCCACACUGGGACUGAGACACGGCCCAGACUCCUACGGGAGGCAGCAGUGGGGAAUAUUGCACAAUGGGCGGAAGCCUGAUGCAGCGACGCCGCGUGAGGGAUGACGGCCUUCGGGUUGUAAACCUCUUUCAGCACGGAAGAAGCGAGAGUGACGGUACGUGCAGAAGAAGCGCCGGCUAACUACGUG